rnacentral:misc_RNA from 1 species
UCUCACUUUUUCAUAGUCAUGGAAAGAUAGAUCGAGAAGGAAUUUCCAUUUUUAUUAACUAUGUGCUAUUUUCACCCGUUAUAAAAUGGGAUUAUUUAGGCUAAAAAUAGCAUUCAGGUAAAAUUUCCAUAAAAAAUACUCCAAAAUUUAAAAUCCUUCAAUCAACAAUAUAAAAAUAUUAAGCUAAUUAAUAAUAUUCAGGGCCACCAAUUUUAUACAUAUAAUACAACACUUAAGAAUUCAAAUUCUGAUGUGCAUUUUUUUUAUGGCAUGCAUGAAAAAUACAAUUAUCUUAAUUGGAGGCUCACAUUUUGCAUUCUUGUCCCCUUCAACCACAACAUUUUUUGUUAUUCUGAUGACUGUCCAUGGCAAAGAAGUUGUUAUGAGGGUUAGUGAUGAUUGAGAUUAUAGCUAUAAAUUCUUGGAAUGGGGUAGACAAAAUAUAUAAAACCAUUGGGAAGCUGACACCAGAGGGAGAGGUGCUUCAGUUUCCAAAGCUUAUAGUUGAAUUGUGGGUGCAAGGCAUUGGCCAUGCAGUGAUCGAUCUGAUGUAGCCGUACGGAGAGAAUGGUGUGGAUCCCAGAAGUGGGUCUAAGCUGGACAUAUGAUAUAUAGGGAUCUGUGAUUGUUUGUUGGGCUUCAUGCAUGCCGCUCUUAAAACCUAUACUGACACGCACGGUGGGGUUUUAAAUGGGUGGUUCUUAAUGUGACAGUUUUGAGUACUUAGAGUUCCACCACUCUCACCUUCCGCUUUUAUGGCAAUAUAAAAUCUUUUGUACCACUUAAGGAGCUUUUGGUUUUUAAGUUUUUAACUUUGGCAUAAUUGCUUUACAACUUUGUGAACAAUAUGCAAAGGCUUGUAAUGUUUGAG